CGCUUAAGCCUACUGGCAAUGAAGUCAGCUGUUACAAGUCAGCACAAAAGGUGAGUAAGCA
rnacentral:ribozyme from 2 species